rnacentral:sRNA from 1 species
AAAAGAGGAAGUUCGACUAAGACCGCCACGUCAAUAGCGAACGUCGAACGACCCCACCUCGUGUGGG